rnacentral:rRNA from 1 species
UACGGAGGGAGCUAGCGUUGUUCGGAAUUACUGGGCGUAAAGCGCACGUAGGCGGAUCUUUAAGUCAGGGGUGAAAUCCCGAGGCUCAACCUCGGAACUGCCUUUGAUACUGGGGAUAUCGAGUCCGGGAGAGGUGAGUGGAACUGCGAGUGUAGAGGUGAAAUUCGUAGAUAUUCGGAAGAACACCAGUGGCGAAGGCGACUCACUGGACACAUAUUGACGCUGAGGUGCGAAAGCGUGGGGAGCAAACAGG